rnacentral:rRNA from 1 species
UGAGGAAUAUUGGGUCAAUGGACGGGAGUCUGAAUCAGCCAAGUAGCGUGCAGGACGACGGCCCUAUGGGUUGUAAACUGCUUUUAUAGGGGGAUAAAGUGUGCCGCGUGUGGCAUAUUGCAGGUACCCUAUGAAUAAGGACCGGCUAAUUCCGUGCCAGCAGCCGCGGUAAUACGGAAGGUCCGGGCGUUAUCCGGAUUUAUUGGGUUUAAAGGGAGCGUAGGCCGUCUUAUAAGCGUGUUGUGAAAUGCAGUCGCUCAACGUCUGCACUGCAGCGCGAACUGCCCAGCUUGAGUGCGCGCAACGUUGGCGGAAUUCGCCGUGUAGCGGUGAAAUGCUUAGAUAUGGCGAAGAACUCCGAUUGCGAAGGCAGCUGACGGGUGCGUAACUGACGCUCAUGCUCGAAAGUGCGGGUAUCGAACAGGAUUAGAUACCCUGGUAGU